ACUAUACUAUACUAUACUAUACUAUACUAUACUAUACUAUACUAUGGGCAGCACGGUGUUUGUUUAUACCAGCAUCACCAGAAACACGUGGUUAAUGCAUUGCCCUACCGUGUUACAGUGGCUAUGACAUCACUAGGUGAUAGGAAAUUUUCAGCUCCAUUGCAAUCUUGUGGAACAACUGUUAUAUAUGUUGUUUGACCAGAACAUCAUUACAUGGCAUAUGAGUGUAUGUCCUCCAGUUUUUCGAUAUUCCUCCUGUCAGAAAGAGGCAAUUCGUUCCCCUCCCCUUGAGUGUGGGCUGGACUUAGUGGCUCACUCCUAACAGAUAGAAUAUAGCGUAAGUGAUGGUAUGUGACUUCCAAGACUAGGCCAGAAGAGGCAUUUGGGGUUUCUGCUUUCUUUCUCUCACGUCACUCCCUCUGGAGGAAACCAGCUGCCACUUUGUGAGGAUACUCAUAGUCCUGUGGAGGCAUAUCCUCUGUAUGACUGAGGCCUUCUGCCAACAACCAUCCCUGACUUGCCAGGCAUGAGUGUGCCACCUUGGAAGCAGAUUUUCCAGCCCCAGUCGAGCCUUCAGAUGACAUCAGCCGCUGCUAAUCUCUUGACUACAACCUCAUGAGAGACCCUGAGCCAGAACUAGCCAGGCUUACCCCUCAUGGUUGCAAAGUGGCUGCAACAGCUCCAGGUCUUCUAUCCUUUAACACAGAAUAACUCAAACAACAAGACCCAAAAUUCAGACAAGAAGGAAAGGGACUUUUGAAGGGUGAAGAAAACUUUCCUGGAAACCUCAGACUUCUCCUCAUGCCUUAUUGACCAGAUUGUAUCCCAUGCCCAUUUCUAAACCAAUCGUUGGCAAAGUGAAUGGUAUUGAUGUGAUUAGAUUAACAUUACCAAGAAUGCAUCCUCAGGGAGGCUGAGAAAAAGUCCAGCCUCCUUUGAAGAACCUGGCUUCCUUUUACCUGAACAAAACAAGAACUCUGAUGAAAAGAAAAAUGGAGAAUUUAUAUGGAGCAGGCAUCCAGAGUGUCUAUGCCAGGAUUUUUUUUUCAGUGCAUUUCACCAGUUAUAUUUUUAUCUAAAUCUUUAUCUUACAAGAUAUGUGGCACAUUUGCCUAAAACAAGCCUUGCUUUCUGAUUUCUGUGCACUCGGCACUUAAACCUUGCAAAUAUCGUUUACCUAACAGUCACUGUCAAGGACUACCUGGCUAAAGAAUCUCCAGCUAGAAAAGUAGAAGUAUCUGUGCUCUGGCAGUUGAAUAUAUUGUAUCAGGCUCAACAGCAGCUUUCACCAAAGGAUGAGACUUCACAACCAUUAGAUCUUCUUUUAUUUUGUUUUUAUUUAAAAAAAAAUUUUAACACACCAUUGCUACCUUGAGGCCAUUAGAUCUUCUUACCCCCAAUACCACAAAAAUUUAGUGGAAUCAGGGGUAUAUCAAGGCAAGUGGAGUAGGGGAGCUGGAAGCGGUCAGCCCCCAGGGCAGGCAAUGACGGAUUGUGAAUUUGGGAAGAAUUUUAAAGCAGUGAUACAGCUCUAAAUGCAAUGUACUAUCCUGGACUUAGCCCUGGGAGAGAAAAAAGAUAUUAGUGGAAAAACUGAUAAAAUUCAAAUAAUGUCUGUAGUUUGGUUAACAGUAUUGUACCCAUGUUAAUUUCUGUUUUGAUAAAGGUACCGUGGUUACGUAAGCUGGAUGAAAGAUAUGUGGGAAAUCUCUCUACUAUAUCUGUAACUCUCCUGUAAACCUAAAAAUAUUUCAAAAUAAAAGAUUUAAUGUUAAAAUUGA